AUUGAACGCUGGCGGCAUGCCUUACACAUGCAAGUCGAACGGCAGCGGACCUUCGGGUGCCGGCGAGUGGCGAACGGGUGAGUAAUGCAUCGGAACGUACCUUUCAGUGGGGGAUAACGUAGCGAAAGUUACGCUAAUACCGCAUAUUCUGUGAGCAGGAAAGCAGGGGAUCGCAAGACCUUGCGCUGAUUGAGCGGCCGAUGUCAGAUUAGCUAGUUGGUGAGGUAAAGGCUCACCAAGGCGACGAUCUGUAGCGGGUCUGAGAGGAUGAUCCGCCACACUGGGACUGAGACACGGCCCAGACGCCUACGGGAGGCAGCAGUGGGGAAUAUUGGACAAUGGGGGAAACCCUGAUCCAGCGACGCCGCGUGGGUGAAGAAGGCCUGCGGGUUGUAAAGCUCUUUCGGCCGGGAAGAAAUCGCACGGGCUAAUACCCUGUGUGGAUGACGGUACCGGAAUAAGAAGCACCGGCUAACUACGUGCCAGCCGCCGCAGUAAUAC
rnacentral:rRNA from 1 species